GAGUUUGAUCGUGGCUCAGAUUGAACGCUGGCGGCAUGCCUUACACAUGCAAGUCGAGCGGAUGACGGGAGCUUGCUCCUUGAUUCAGCGGCGGACGGGUGAGUAAUGCCUAGGAAUCUGCCUGGUAGUGGGGGACAACGUUUCGAAAGGAACGCUAAUACCGCAUACGUCCUACGGGAGAAAGCAGGGGACCUUCGGGCCUUGCGCUAUCAGAUGAGCCUAGGUCGGAUUAGCUAGUUGGUGGGGUAAUGGCUCACCAAGGCGACGAUCCGUAACUGGUCUGAGAGGAUGAUCAGUCACACUGGAACUGAGACACGGUCCAGACUCCUACGGGAGGCGAGCAGUGGGGAAUA
rnacentral:rRNA from 1 species